rnacentral:rRNA from 1 species
CCGAACUCACCGCCGUUGAAAAGUUGGGAGAUGAGAUAGGUCUAGGGGUGAAAAGCCAAUCGAACUAGGAGAUAGCUCGUUCUCUCCGAAAUGCAUUUAGGUGCAGCCUUGAACUGAGAUAUGUGGGGGUAGAGCUCUGUAUGAUCUAGGGGGCGUACUGCUUACCGAAAUCAAGCAAACUGCGAAUACCAUAUAUCAUGUUCAGGAGUGAGUCCGUGGAUGACAAGGUCCUCGGACGAGAGGGGAACAGCCCAGACCGCCAGCUAAGGUCCCUAAUUAUGUCUAAGUGGGAAAGGAGGUGGACAUUCAUAGACAACCAGGAGGUUGGCUUAGAAGCAGCCAUGCCUUGAAAGAGUGCGUAAUAGCUCACUGGUCGAGAGUGCCCGCGCCGAAGAUGUAACGGGGCUAAGACAUAAACCGAAGCUGCGGAAGAUACACUGUAUCUUGGUAGGAGAGCGUUCUGUAGGCCGUCGAAGGGAUGCCGCAAGGCCGUCCUGGAGGUAUCAGAAGCGAGAAUGCAGGAAUGAGUAGCGAGAAGGCGGGCGAGAAUCCCGCCGGCCGGAAGUCCAAGGUUUCCAGGGGAAGGCUUGUCCGCCCUGGGGAAGUCGGGACCUAAGCAUAAGCAAAAUUGUGAUGGCGAAUGGAAAACAGGUUAAUAUUCCUGUACCGCUGUUAUCGCUUGAGAGACGGAGUGACGCAGGAAGGUAUGCGAGAAGGCUGACGGUUUAGCCUUUCUAAGGGCCCAGCGUGGGCGUGCAGGUAAAUCCGCACGCCUAAACGUGAGACCUGACGGGGAAGUGCAUUUGCAUAAGUCGCAGAUCCUACACUGCCAAGAAAAACUUCUAUCGAUGAGAAGCAGCGCCCGUACUGUAAACCGACACAGGUGGACAGAGUGAGAAACUUAAGGCCGACAGGAUAACUCUAGCUAAGGAACUCUGCAAAAUAGCCCCGUAACUUCGGGAGAAGGGGUGCCUGACAUACCUGAAGGAGAGAAGCGCUCCCAGGGGAAACAGGCCGCAGUGAAGAGUCUCAAGCAACUGUUUACCAAAAACACAGGUCUAUGCUAAGCUGAAAGGCGACGUAUAUGGGCUGACACCUGCCCAGUGCCGGAAGGUUAAGAGGAGGAGUGAGAGCUCCGAUUUGAAGCCCCGGUGAACGGCGGCCGUAACUAUAACGGUCCUAAGGUAGCGAAAUUCCUUGUCGGGUAAGUUCCGACCUGCACGAAUGGUGAAAUGAUUUGAGAGCUGUCUUGGCUGGAGACCUGGUGAAGUUGUAAUGCCGGUGAAGAUACCGGCUACCUGCAGUAGGACGGAAAGACCCCGUGGAGCUUUACUGUAGCUUGGCAUUGGGUUCUGGCAAUGUGUGUAUAGGAUAGUUGGGAGACUGUGAUGUGAUGGCGUCAGCCAUUGCUGAGUCGCUGUUGGAAUACCAACCAUAUGCUGUCGGAAUUCUAAUCUGGCAACGGAGACAGUGCUAGGUGGGCAGUUUGACUGGGGCGGUCGCCUCCCAAAGAGUAACGGAGGCGUUCAAAGGUUCCCUCAGGCUGGAUGGAAAUCAGCCUAAGAGUGCAAACGCAUAAGGGAGCUUGACUGCAAGACUGACGGGUCGAGCAGGUACGAAAGUAGGAGUUAGUGAUCCGGCGGUUCCGUAUGGAAGGACCGUCGCUCAACGGAUAAAAGCUACCCCGGGGAUAACAGGCUGAUACUUCCCAAGAGUCCAUAUCGACGGAAGUGUUUGGCACCUCGAUGUCGGCUCGUCUCAUCCUGGGGCUGGAGAAGGUCCCAAGGGUUGGGCUGUUCGCCCAUUAAAGAGGCACGCGAGCUGGGUUCAGAACGUCGUGAGACAGUUCGGUCCCUAUCCACUGCAGGCGCUUGAAUAUUGAAAAGAUCUGACCUUAGUACGAGAGGACCGGGUUGGACAGACCUCUGAUGUAUCAGUUGUCACGCCAGUGGCAUGGCUGAGUAGUCACGUCUGGUACGGAUAACCGCUGAAAGCAUCUAAGCGGGAAGCCGGCUUUGAGAUGAAUAUUCGUAGUAUCCAUAGAGAACAUAUGGUCGAUAGGCUAGGGGUGCAAGUGCAGCAAUGCAUUUAGCUGACUAGUACUAAUAUUACGUCUGCUUUUAAGAU